UACCAGCUGUGGGAACGUGGACAAAGUGU
rnacentral:piRNA from 1 species